CAGGGUUGGGAAAUUACGUGUAAUUAAUAUUAAUUACAUUUUAUACAUUACGUGUAGUUUUUGACGUAAUUAAUUGUAGUUAAUCGUAGAUAUAGAAUAACCUCUUUUUAACAAUUCUAACCUCAAAUUUUGCGGUACGUUACGCCGGCUCUUACGUCUUCCAAAAUGCCGGGAAGAAAUUUUCACAGUUUUUGGACGAUUGGAAAGUUUGAUAUAUUAAAACUGAAUGGAAAAGUUGCAGCACGUUGUCUUGUGUGUGAUAAAAUAUUAAAAAAUACUUCGAAACAACGACUGAUGUCGCAUAGAAAUGUCUGCAAGGAAGAAAAUACAUCCAAAGAAGUGGCCGAAGUGGGUGAAGAGGAUGAAAUCAUAUUGGUAGAAAUAGAAAGUAAGGCUGACGAUAACGAUGAAGAAGAGUCAAAUGAAGUUUCAGUGGAAGAUUCACCAAGUUGUAGCAAUGAACAAUUUAAUGAUCGUGUAAGUGCGGCAUCAACAUUAACAUUACCUACAUCAGAUUUAAACUAUGAUGAAAACAUUUGCAAUACUGAGAGUUCAAAUUUGACUUCAA